CGUCUCCUUGUGUUGGAGGACCAAACAAACCUUUGCCUCCAUUUGUGCGUCAACAAUGUUUAGAUAUGCUUCAUGCUUUACGUCAAAAGAGAAUACAAAAAGAAAUUGAAGAUGUAGAUGUAGGCUAUAAUGUGCCUUUGGAAGAUGAAGAAGAAGAGGAUGAAGCUUAUGAAUGUGAUGAUGAAGACGAUAGCAGUCUAAGAACAGAUUUGGAGACCUCAAGAGGUAGAGAUCGUAGAGGAAAAGGGAUUAUGUAUGAAGGAGGUCGAUCUGGCAUAACGGGAAGGAAGAGGAGAGGCACAACAGAUGUUAGGGCCAGGCGUGGUAUGCGACCACCUAGUGGUAGAGUUCCUACUGGUAGGUCUAGUGUUGGCUCUAUUAAGAGUUUUUUCCCUUCAUAUACCAGCCCAGGUGGUCAGCCGCAGAUUCGUGCUGCUAUGACAUCUAAAGAUAUGCUAUAUCAUGCACAAAAGCAGGUAGGGAAAUGGUUUUAUGAUGCCUGUAUUCCAUUCAAUGCAGCUAAUUCUUUUCAAUUCCAAGCCAUGGCAGAUGCAAUUGCUUCUAUAGGCCCCGAAUUCAAAAUGCCAUCAUAUCAUCAGUUGAGAGGCAAAAUUCUUCAGGAUACAGUCAAAGAAGUGUCUGAGCAUUGCGAUGAGUUGAAAUUAUGUUGGAAGGAAACAGGUUGCUCCAUUAUGUCAGAUGGUUGGACUGAUACAAGGUCAAGAACACUUGUAAAUUUUCUUGUGUAUUGCCCUAAAGGUACAAUGUUCUUGAAAUCUCUUGACUUGUCUGAUGUUCCUAAGACUGCUGAGAUUUUAUUCAAUGUUUUUGAUAAUGUUGUACAAGAAGUUGGACCUGCAAACAUUGUACAGUUUAUUACAGAUAAUGCUGCAAAUUAUAGAGCUGCAGGAGAUUUGUUAUUUCAAAAGUAUAGAACAUUUUAUUGGAGUCCAUGUGCCACUCAUUGUGUUAAUCUAAUGCUUCAAGAUCUUAAUGAGAUGCAUGAUAUGAAAUCAGCCAUUGACCAAUGUCAAGAGGUAACAAAAUUUAUCUAUAAUCAUGCAUAUGUAUUGAGUUUGAUGAGAAAAUUUACAAAAGGAGUUGAAUUAAUACGACCUGCACAAACUAGAUUUGCCACAAAUGUAUUGACUGUGCAGAGUGUGGUGAAACAAAGAACUCCUUUGAGACAGAUGUUUGCUAGUGAAGAAUGGGCUGCAUAUCCACAUGCUCAUAAAAGAAAUGCUUCUUUAGUUGUGGAUAUUAUAUUCAAUAACGUAUUUUGGGAAUCAUGUGUGAAGCUAUUGAAGGUUUGUGUUCCAUUAGUUAAGGUUCUCAGGUUGGCUGACAGCGAGGACAGACCUUCUAUAGGGUACUUAUAUGAGGCUAUGGACAAAGCAAAAGAGGCAAUUCGAGACAACUUAAAGGAAAAGAAAAAGUUAUAUAUGCCCAUAUGGAAGAUUAUAGAUAAAAGGUGGACUGGACAGCUUCAUCAACCUCUUCAUGCAGCAGCUUAUUAUCUAAAUCCUGCAAUUAGAUUUUCUCCUACAUUUAAGAAGGACAGAGAAGUCAUGCAUGGUUUGUUAGAUUGUAUUAAUGUGUUAGUGGAAGAUUCUACAGAACAAGAUGCUGUGCACAAUGAGUUGGAUCUAUAUGAUAGUUGUUUUCGGAACAUGGGACUACCUGCCGCCGUUCGAGCCAGGACAACGAUGCGCCCAGGUAAAUACAUAGAAAUUUUUAAUUUACUUUGCAUUUGUUACAUUUGAUUCUUUUAAAACUUUCACAUUGAUUUGUUAUAUUUUUGUUUAGAUUUGUGGUGGAAUAGGUAUGGGUUUGAUUGUCCAAACCUAGCACGUUUUGCAGUCAAAGUCCUCAGCCAGACAUGCAGUGCUAGUGGAUGCGAAAGGAACUGGAGUGUGUUCCAACAUAUCCAUAGCAAAAAAAGGAAUAGGCUCGAACAUAAAAGGUUGAAUGACCUUGUCUUUGUUCGAUAUAAUAUGAGGUUGAAACAAAGAGAAUUAGAAAAAUCAUUAGCAAGGAAGCACACAUCUCAGUUCGAUCCUAUCAGCUUUGAAAAUUUUGACGAUCUAGAGCCAUGGAUUGAAGAAGAACCAGCUACAAUAUUUGAUGAUGAAGAUCUUGAAUGCUUCAACCUUGAAGUUGAAGCAACAGAAGGCUUUGUUGAUGAAGGAGAGUCUGCUACUGCUGGUGCUGGUGCUGAAUAUGUUGGUGAAGAUCUUCCAAUUCUUGACGAUGAAGAAGAAGAAGAAGAUGAAGAUGAAGAUGAUGAAGAUUAUGAAUGAUG